rnacentral:rRNA from 1 species
CCUACGGGAGGCAGCAGUGGGGAAUAUUGCACAAUGGGGGAAACCCUGAUCCAGCAACGCCGCGUGAGUGAAGACGUCAUUCGUGAUGUAAAGCUCUAUCAGCAGGGAAGAAAAUGACGGUACCUGACUCAGAAGCCCCGGAUAACUCCGUGCCAGCAGCCGCGGUAAUACGUAGGGGGCAAGCGUUAUCCGGAUUUACUGGGUGUAAAGGGCGCGUAGACGGCGACGCAAGUCUGAAGUGAAAUGCCAGUGCUAAAAACUGGAACUGCGUUGGAAACCGUGUGGCUAGAGUGCAGGAGAGGUAAGUGGAAUUCCUAGUGUAGCGGUGAAAUGCGGAGAUAUUAGGAGGAACACCAGUUGCGAAGGCGGCUUACUGGACUGUAACUGACGUUGAGGCUCGAAGGCGUGGGGAGCAAACAGGAUUAGAUACCCUGGUAGUC